ACGGGGGCUUGCACAAGCGGUGGAGCAUGAGGUUUAAUUAGAAGCUACGCGCCGAACCUUUUAGAGUUUGACAUAUCUAGUAUCGUUUCCAGAGAUGGAUUCCUUCAGUUUGGCCAGCUUGGACACAGCUGGUGCAUGGCUGUCGACAGCUUGUUCCGAAGAAAUGGGUUAAGUCCCGCAAGGAGUUCAACCCUCGUCUGUAGUUGUGGUCAAAGAGUUGGGCACUCUAAGGAAAUUACCCCAGAUAAGCCGGAGGAAGGUGUGGAUGACGUCAAGUCCUCACAGUCUGUACAAGCUGGGCUACACACCUGAUAUAAAGGCGGGACAGUGGGCAGCAAACCGCAGACGAAAGUAAAUUUACAAAAGCUGUUUCAGAGCGGAUUGUUUUAUGCAACUGGAGAGCAUGAAGGUGGAAUGGUUAGUAAUCGCGGAUCAGCACGCCACGGUGUACACGUUUACAGGCCUUGUACACACCACCUGUCACACCAUGGGAGUUGGUUUCACCCGAAGGAAGUUCCUAAUGCGCAAUUGAAGCAGCUGACC
rnacentral:rRNA from 1 species